UACAGAGGUCUCAAGCGUUGUUCGGAUUCAUUGGGCGUAAAGGGCGUGUAGGCGGCGCCGUAAGUCGGGUGUGAAAUCUCGGGGCUUAACUCCGAAACUGCAUUCGAUACUGCGGUGCUUGAGGACUGGAGAGGAGACUGGAAUUCCUGGUGUAGCAGUGAAAUGCGUAGAUAUCAGGAGGAAUACCGAUGGCGAAGGCAGGUCUCUGGGCUGGCACUGACGCUCAUGCACGAAAGCGUGGGGAGCAAACAGG
rnacentral:rRNA from 1 species